rnacentral:rRNA from 1 species
GAUGAACGCUGGCGGCGUGCCUAAUACAUGCAAGUCGAGCGAACAGACGAGGAGCUUGCUCCUCUGACGUUAGCGGCGGACGGGUGAGUAACACGUGGAUAACCUACCUAUAAGACUGGGAUAACUUCGGGAAACCGGAGCUAAUACCGGAUAAUAUAUUGAACCGCAUGGUUCAAUAGUGAAAGACGGUUUUGCUGUCACUUCUAGAUGGAUCCGCGCCGCAUUAGCUAGUUGGUAAGGUAACGGCUUACCAAGGCAACGAUGCGUAGCCGACCUGAGAGGGUGAUCGGCCACACUGGAACUGAGACGCGGUCCAGGCUCCUACGGGAGGCAGCAGUAGGGAAUCUUCCGCAAUGGGCGAAAGCCUGACGGAGCAACGCCGCGUGAGUGAUGAAGGUCUUCGGAUCGUAAAACUCUGUUAUUAGGGAAGAACAAAUGUGUAAGUAACUAUGCACGUCGUGACGGUACCUAAUCAGAAAGCCACGGCUAACUACGUG